rnacentral:rRNA from 1 species
UACGAAGGGGGCUAGCGUUGUUCGGAAUCACUGGGCGUAAAGCGCGUGCAGGCGGCUUGGUAAGUCGGGUGUGAAAUCCCGGAGCUCAACUCCGGAACUGCACCCGAUACUGCCUCGCUAGAGUCCCGGAGAGGAUGGCGGAAUUUCCGGUGUAGAGGUGAAAUUCGUAGAUAUCGGAAGGAACACCAGCGGCGAAGGCGGCCAUCUGGACGGUGACUGACGCUCAGACGCGAAAGCGCGGGGAGCAAACAGG